rnacentral:rRNA from 1 species
UUGACCUCAAAUCAGGUAGGACUACCCGCUGAACUUAAGCAUAUCAAUAAGACGGAGGAA